rnacentral:misc_RNA from 1 species
GCAAGAGAAUGAUGUUUGUGGCAACCAUCCUGCCGUUGUCGGGAUAGUUAGUAAAGGAAGCUGUGCUGGAAUCCUCCUUUAUAAACCCCUGACUUUUUUGAUAAGGAUGGAUUUGAGCUUCCGAGCGAGUUCUUGAGAACGGAUUUUCCGUUCAAGGAUCUUACGAGCCAAUACACGCUUCUCCGAGUUCUUGAUGUGAUGCAGCUGUUCGCGCUUAAUCAGCCGUUCUAUUCCGCUAGACUGCAUUUUCCUCUGCAUCAAAAACAAAGCUUGGUCUAGGUUAUUGUUCCUCACCUUCACUCUUAUGCCUCGCCAUUGUUGCAGCCCCCAAUUUAGUGGAUUUAGGGCUACGUUCGGUCGAUUGAAGAUGUUCAUCACUGACCUAAUCAUUUCUAGGGUUUCUCGAUUUUGCUCUGAAAUUGGGGCUUUUUCAAU